UAUGACGAUGCGCGGGGCUUAGGGAUGGCAGGAUGAGUCUAGGACGGUGGUCUCUGAUAUCGAUCGAAGAGACAAUGGGAAGGGCUACUCGGGUUUCGGCAGGGAGGUAUACGGGAUCCUGCAGACGUUACGUUCUGCAAGACACCAAAAAACGAAGUUCGGCCCCGGAGGUUAAUAAGUCGACGGGUCGCUGAUUUUCCCGAGUCGCGUGGGUUUUGGUAUGGGAAUUAAGCGCUUGCGCCACAGGAGGUAU
rnacentral:misc_RNA from 1 species